UCUUAUGGAUGAGCAAAGAAAGCGGUUUCUUGAGAUGGAAAUUACUCUUGUUGAAGAUUCUGUAAA
rnacentral:pre_miRNA from 1 species